rnacentral:rRNA from 1 species
AGUGAACGCUGGCGGUAGGCCUAACACAUGCAAGUCGAACGGCAGCACAGUAAGAGCUUGCUCUUACGGGUGGCGAGUGGCGGACGGGUGAGGAAUACAUCGGAAUCUACUUUUUCGUGGGGGAUAACGUAGGGAAACUUACGCUAAUACCGCAUACGACCUACGGGUGAAAGCAGGGGAUCUUCGGACCUUGCGCGAUUGAAUGAGCCGAUGUCGGAUUAGCUAGUUGGCGGGGUAAAGGCCCACCAAGGCGACGAUCCGUCGCUGGUCUGAGAGGAUGAUCAGCCACCCUGGAACUGAGACACGGUCCAGACUCCUACGGGAGGCAGCAGUGGGGAAUAUUGGACAAUGGGCGCAAGCCUGAUCCAGCCAUACCGCGUGGGUGAAGAAGGCCUUCGGGUUGUAAAGCCCUUUUGUUGGGAAAGAAAAGCAGCAGGUUAAUACCCCGCUGUUCUGACGGUACCCAAAGAAUAAGCACCGGCUAACUUCGUG